UACGAAGGGGGCGAGCGUUGCUCGGAAUCACUGGGCGUAAAGGGUGCGUAGGCGGGUCUUUAAGUCAGGGGUGAAAUCCUGGAGCUCAACUCCAGAACUGCCUUUGAUACUGAGGAUCUUGAGUACGGGAGAGGUGAGUGGAACUGCGAGUGUAGAGGUGAAAUUCGUAGAUAUUCGCAAGAACACCAGUGGCGAAGGCGGCUCACUGGCCCGUAACUGACGCUGAGGCACGAAAGCGUGGGGAGCAAACAGG
rnacentral:rRNA from 1 species